CAAGACCUUGAGUUCAAGCCCAAGUAGUGGCGCCAAGAAAAAAAGAAGUUAGAAUAUAUGUUAUAUUCCUGCCUCCUCCUUUCAUUAAUCCAAUGAUAGCACUUCUCCUGCUCUGCUCUGUCUUCUAGGGAAGACAAGGCAUUGAGAGAUGUCAGCCAGAUGUUGUAAAGAUGAUUCCCACCCAGUCAUCUUGAACCCAGAGGGCUUACAUUUUACUACACCAUGAGGAUCUAUGCUAUAGCACAAGCAUCUCCCCCUCUACUCCUUCUUCAGUGAAAAAUAGAUAACAUGAAGAUAUUAGUAUAUUUGUACUUUAGUAUGAAUUGUUUUCUAAUCCAAAGACAAUGUCCAAUCAGCAGAAAAAGAAAGAAAGCAAAAGAUUUGGGAGAAGACAUGAGGACUGUUUCCUAAGUUUAUAUAUUGAGAAACACUGCCAUAAUCUAAACUUUCAAUGGGAAGUUAUUAAAGCAAAAGUGUAUGGAAAGAAAGUGUCCCCGUGUUUGCUAAUAGAUUAAAUAAAUCACACCAUACUGCUUGGAGAGGCAGCCUGCCUUAUUUCACAGUGGUGUGGUUUGUGCCCAGUCAAACAGAUAAACCUGUGACAUCCCUAUCUAUGCAUAUUUAAAUAUGUUACAAAGCCAACACAAGAUUUCAGUAGCUUUUCCCAGCUGAGGAGAGAGAGUAGGCUUUAGAAAGCCUUAAUCAGACUUGUAAAUUUGGGGGAUAGAAGCAGUGCUAGGGUUUGAACUCAAGAAGAACCUCAUACUUGCUAUGCAGGCACUCUACUCUGUCACUUGAGCCCCAACAUCUGCCUCAUCUCACCCUAAAUUCUCUAGUUUCAGAAAAUAUAGUUGUCGUAAAAAUUGUCGACAUUAACUUGUUACUCUAAAAUAAAGGUACAUACAUAUUUUUAAUGCUCUUGUUUCAGAGAAGAAGCAGUAAAUUUGAACAAAAAGCUAUUAUGGCUUUCUCUUUUGUUGUUCCUCCACCCUACAGUGUUGGGUUUCAACCUAAGGGCCUCACAACAUGCUAAGUGAGCACUCUAGCACUGAGCUGAGUCCUCAACUCUACAGUAGCUUCUUCUCUCAAAACACUUUUUAAUAUUGAUAUCUGGACUUUUGAUGUUUUUUUUAAUUAUUUAAGUUUACGUUUACUUUUUAAAUUCCCUCUGGUAUACAGCUUUGAGUUUUUCCAUUUUCAUAGAUUCUCAUAAGUAACACCACACACAGGACACAGAGCUAUUCCAGAGAACUCCGGCAUUCAUACUUGCUCUUAGGUCAUGCCUGAUGCCAUGCAGUCCAGGAAACUUAAUCUUACUCUUUUCUGUUUCCAGACUAACAUCUCUCCAAUGUUGUCGUUGCCCCCACUGAGUGUUAGUUUUUUAUAUCACUCUGAGUUAGGGGACUAUGGUGGAGACAAUGCAAUGCUUCAGGUGAUAAAUGUGUGGCAUUUCAGAGAAGGGAAAAGGAUUAGUCAAUGAAGUAUACUGAGACAACAUGUAGUCCAGAAGGAAAAAAGUUCCUACACAAAAAUAAAUUUCAGAUGGAAUUUUUUAACAUAACAUAAAAAUGCUGGCUCAUAAAAUAUAGCACAUCUUUAAAUAACGAGGGAAAGAGGAAGACCCUUCUAAAGAACACAAAAGAAGUCAAGUAUAGGCGUCUCCACCCAUAAUCCUAGUUAUUUGGGAAGCUAGAUUGUUGGGAUAGCAGUUCUAGGCCAGGUCAGUGAACAAAAAAAUUUAAGAGAUUCCUUCUCAGCCAGGUGCCAGUGGCUUCACACCUGUAAUUUCAGCUACUCAGGAGGCUGAGAUCUGAGGAUCUUGGUUCAAAGUCAGCUGGGUCAGGAAUCUGUGAGGUUCUUAACUCCAAUUUAACACCAAAACACUCUACCUGGAGCUGUGGCUCAAGUGAUAGAACACUAGCCCAAAGCACAUAAGCUUAGGGACAGAGCCCAGGUCCUGAAUUCAAGCCUUAGGACCAGUACA